AGAGUUUGAUCAUGGCUCAGAUUGAACGCUGGCGGCAGGCCUAACACAUGCAAGUCGAGCGGUAGCACAGAGAGCUUGCUCUCGGGUGACGAGCGGCGGACGGGUGAGUAAUGUCUGGGAAACUGCCUGAUGGAGGGGGAUAACUACUGGAAACGGUAGCUAAUACCGCAUAACGUCGCAAGACCAAAGUGGGGGACCUUCGGGCCUCAUGCCAUCAGAUGUGCCCAGAUGGGAUUAGCUAGUAGGUGGGGUAACGGCUCACCUAGGCGACGAUCCCUAGCUGGUCUGAGAGGAUGACCAGCCACACUGGAACUGAGACACGGUCCAGACUCCUACGGGAGGCAGCAGUGGGGAAUAUUGCACAAUGGGCGCAAGCCUGAUGCAGCCAUGCCGCGUGUGUGAAGAAGGCCUUCGGGUUGUAAAGCACUUUCAGCGGGGAGGAAGGCGUUAAGGUUAAUAACCUUGGCGAUUGACGUUACCCGCAGAAGAAGCACCGGCUAACUCCGUGCCAGCAGCCGCGGUAAUACGGAGGGUGCAAGCGUUAAUCGGAAUUACUGGGCGUAAAGCGCACGCAGGCGGUCUGUCAAGUCGGAUGUGAAAUCCCCGGGCUUAACCUGGGAACUGCAUUCGAAACUGGCAGGCUAGAGUCUUGUAGAGGGGGGUAGAAUUCCAGGUGUAGCGGUGAAAUGCGUAGAGAUCUGGAGGAAUACCGGUGGCGAAGGCGGCCCCCUGGACAAAGACUGACGCUCAGGUGCGAAAGCGUGGGGAGCAAACAGGAUUAGAUACCCUGGUAGUCCACGCCGUAAACGAUGUCGAUUUGGAGGUUGUGCCCUUGAGGCGUGGCUUCCGGAGCUAACGCGUUAAAUCGACCGCCUGGGGAGUACGGCCGCAAGGUUAAAACUCAAAUGAAUUGACGGGGGCCCGCACAAGCGGUGGAGCAUGUGGUUUAAUUCGAUGCAACGCGAAGAACCUUACCUGGUCUUGACAUCCACAGAACUUUCCAGAGAUGGAUUGGUGCCUUCGGGAACUGUGAGACAGGUGCUGCAUGGCUGUCGUCAGCUCGUGUUGUGAAAUGUUGGGUUAAGUCCCGCAACGAGCGCAACCCUUAUCCUUUGUUGCCAGCGGUCCGGCCGGGAACUCAAAGGAGACUGCCAGUGAUAAACUGGAGGAAGGUGGGGAUGACGUCAAGUCAUCAUGGCCCUUACGACCAGGGCUACACACGUGCUACAAUGGCAUAUACAAAGAGAAGCGACCUCGCGAGAGCAAGCGGACCUCAUAAAGUAUGUCGUAGUCCGGAUUGGAGUCUGCAACUCGACUCCAUGAAGUCGGAAUCGCUAGUAAUCGUAGAUCAGAAUGCUACGGUGAAUACGUUCCCGGGCCUUGUACACACCGCCCGUCACACCAUGGGAGUGAGUUGCAAAAGAAGUAGGUAGCUUAACCUUCGGGAGGGCGCUUACCACUUUGUGAUUCAUGACUGGGGUGAAGUCGUAACAAGGUAACCGUAGGGGAACCUGCGGUUGGAUCACCU
rnacentral:rRNA from 1 species